ACUCACUCAACCUGGGUGUGAUGUGUUUAUGGAGCCCAUCACAACCUCCUUGAGUGAGCGA
rnacentral:pre_miRNA from 1 species